UGCACAAAGCAGUAGUCUCUGCUGUUGCAGCGUUGACGUUCACUCUACUGCUACGUGUAAAUGGCGACAUAGAGACUGUCUCUACUUGCUUGAGAGGAGCAGACUAUCCAUGCGCAUACCCCGAUGUGUGCACUCAAUGCCCACCAAACGUCACGGACUAUCCCGGCCAUACUUUUUUCUACUAUGCCCCAGAGAGAAACUCAUGCGUUCGCAUUUCAGGAACCACUGACAAUUGCAACGGUUUUGUUGAUGACGACAGCUGUCGAACUUUGUGUGGCUUAGACGACUAUGACUAAGAAGUGUCGAUAUGCCUUACGAUGCGAGAAGAUUGAAUAACGGCGGCCGAAAGCACUGCAAGGACCUGAAUUGUUUUACUGAAGCCCAUAUUAAGUUAUGG